CGCACCUUGCACUCUUUGGUAUUCCGAAGAGUAUGUCUGUUUGAGUGUCAUGAAACUCUCAACCCCCCUAUUUUGUAAUGAGAUAGGCGUUUGGGCUUGGAUUAUGGCUGCUUGCAGGACCUUUCAAUAGGACCAGCUCAGCUUAAAUACAUGAGCUGCUUCGCUUGAUAAUUGGUAUCAACGGCUUGACUCGACGUAAUAACUAUUUCGUUGGGGACGUUGUGUUCCAUUAACAACCUGCGAAAGCGCUUCUAAUGCAACAGCUUAGCGGCUGUCACCUUUAAGCUUUAGACCUCAAAUCAGUCAGGACUACCCGCUGAACUUAA
rnacentral:misc_RNA from 1 species